rnacentral:rRNA from 1 species
AGGACGAAUGCUGGCGGCGUGCUUAACACAUGCAAGUCGAACGGUGAAGGAGAGCUUGCUCUCCGGAUCAGUGGCGAACGGGUGAGUAACACGUGGGCAACCUGCCCCUCGCUCCGGGAUAAACCUCGGGAAACCGAAGCUAAUACCGGAUACGACCCGGUGCGACAUCGCACUGGGUGGAAAGAAUUUCGGCGAGGGAUGGGCCCGCGGCCUAUCAGCUAGUUGGUGAGGUAACGGCUCACCAAGGCGACGACGGGUA